rnacentral:rRNA from 1 species
AGUGAACGCUGGCGGUAGGCCUAACACAUGCAAGUCGAACGGCAGCACAGUAAGAGCUUGCUCUUACGGGUGGCGAGUGGCGGACGGGUGAGGAAUACAUCGGAAUCUACUUUUUCGUGGGGGAUAACGUAGGGAAACUUACGCUAAUACCGCAUACGACUUACGGGUGAAAGCAGGGGAUCUUCGGACCUUGCGCGAUUGAAUGAGCCGAUGUCGGAUUAGCUAGUUGGCGGGGUAAAGGCCCACCAAGGCGACGAUCCGUAGCUGGUCUGAGAGGAUGAUCAGCCACCCUGGAACUGAGACACGGUCCAGACUCCUACGGGAGGCAGCAGUGGGGAAUAUUGGACAAUGGGCGCAAGCCUGAUCCAGCCAUACCGCGUGGGUGAAGAAGGCCUUCGGGUUGUAAAGCCCUUUUGUUGGGAAAGAAAAGCAGCAGGUUAAUACCCCGCUGUUCUGACGGUACCCAAAGAAUAAGCACCGGCUAACUUCGUG